rnacentral:rRNA from 1 species
UGGGGAAUUUUGCACAAUGGGGGAAACCCUGAUGCAGCGACGCCGCGUGAUUUAGAAGGCCUUCGGGUUGUAAAAAUCUUUUUUACGGGAUGAAAAUGACAGUACCGUAAGAAUAAGGUCCGGCUAAAUACGUGCCAGCAGCCGCGGUAAUACGUAUGGACCGAGCGUUGUCCGGAAUCAUUGGGCGUAAAGGGUACGUAGGCGGCCUAGUAAGUUAGAAGUGAAAUAAUAUAGCUCAACUAUAUAAAGCUUUUAAAACUGCUAGGCUUGAGAGAUGGAAGGGAAAGUGGACUUCCUAGUGUAGCGGUGAAAUGCGCAGAUAUUAGGAAGAAUACCGGUGGCGAAGGCGACUUUCUGGUCAUCAUCUGACGCUGAGGUACGAAAGCGUGGGUAGCAAACAGG